UACAGAGGGGGCAAGCGUUAUUCGGAAUUAUUGGGCGUAAAGGGCGCGUAGGCGGCUUUGCAAGUGACGGGUGAAAGCCCUCGGCUUAACCGAGGAACUGCCUGUCAGACUGUAAGGCUUGAGACCGGGAGAGGUGAGUGGAAUUCCCAGUGUAGCGGUGAAAUGCGUAGAUAUCAGGAAGAACACCAACGGCGAAGGCAGCUCGCUGGGACGGUACUGACGCUGAGACGCGAAAGCGUGGGGAGCGAACAGG
rnacentral:rRNA from 1 species